UACGGGGGAUGCAAGCGUUAUCCGGAUUUAUUGGGUUUAAAGGGUGCGUAGGCUGUGAGGUAAGUCAGCGGUGAAAUGCCCCCGCUCGACGGGGUGAAGUGCCAUUGAUACUGCCUUGCUGGAAUGCGGAUGCCGUGGGAGGAAUGUGUGGUGUAGCGGUGAAAUGCAUAGAUAUCACACAGAACACCGAUCGCGAAGGCAUCUCACGAAUCCGCUAUUGACGCUGAUGCACGAAAGCGUGGGUAUCAAACAGG
rnacentral:rRNA from 1 species